GUGAUUUUCACCAGCGGAAGGGCUGGGAGCUUCCUCGCGACAGGCAGACAGAGACGUUGCCGGUUCCCAGCGAGACAGAAGCGCUUCUGAGAGGAGAAGGAACAGGCAGGAUGGGCCACUGCUUGCCAAUGCCGAGGAUGGUAUGUGGGUGUGUGUGAGAAAAAAGGCAGAGGCAGAGAGGGGGACGGAGGCAGAGAGCAAGGAGGAGAUACUCUUUCUCAACAGCUCUCUGUAGUGUCUAACCUGCCGAGUGAAGUGACAGUGGUGCGCUGCACGCCAGAAUGACAAGGGCAGACAAACUGGGAACGAGAGAGUGAGGGAGGAGGAGUAGAGCUUCAGCGGUCCAUCUCUUCAUGCCCCGGUCGCCCUCAUCAUUGUGUUCUAGCAACUCUCCUGUCCCAGAACAACUCACCUGUCCCAGAGCAACUCACCUGUCCAAGAACAACUCUCAUGACAUUUACUCUGUAUUGGUCUCUGUACUUUAACUCAGUAUCUGUUAUGACACUUGUUCCCGUAUAUACGAUUAAACAAGGAAUGUACAGUUAUGCCUAUAGUAUUCACUUGAUAAAUUGCAUCUAUAUACAUUAAU